CCUACGGGGGGCUGCAGUGAGGAAUAUUGGUCAAUGGGCGCAAGCCUGAACCAGCCAUCCCGCGUGAAGGAAGAAGGCGCUAUGCGUUGUAAACUUCUUUUCCAGGGGAAUAAAAUGCAUUACGAGUAAUGCACUGAAGGUACCCUGGGAAUAAGCAUCGGCUAACUCCGUGCCAGCAGCCGCGGUAAUACGGAGGAUGCGAGCGUUAUCCGGAUUUAUUGGGUUUAAAGGGUGCGUAGGCGGAUUAAUAAGUCAGUGGUGAAAACCUGCAGCUUAACUGUGGAACUGCCAUUGAUACUGUUAGUCUUGAGUAUGGUCAAGGUAGGCGGAAUGUGUAAUGUAGCGGUGAAAUGCUUAGAUAUUACACAGAACACCGAUUGCGAAGGCAGCUUACUGGGCCAUAACUGACGCUGAGGCACGAAAGCGUGGGGAUCGAACAGGCUUAGAUACCCUUGUAGUC
rnacentral:rRNA from 1 species